AUUGAACGCUGGCGGCAGGCUUAACACAUGCAAGUCGAGCGGGGGAAGGUAGCUUGCUACCGGACCUAGCGGCGGACGGGUGAGUAAUGCUUAGGAAUCUGCCUAUUAGUGGGGGACAACAUCUCGAAAGGGAUGCUAAUACCGCAUACGUCCUACGGGAGAAAGCAGGGGAUCUUCGGACCUUGCGCUAAUAGAUGAGCCUAAGUCGGAUUAGCUAGUUGGUGGGGUAAAGGCCUACCAAGGCGACGAUCUGUAGCGGGUCUGAGAGGAUGAACCGCCACAUUGGGACUGAGACACGGCCCAGACUCCUACGGGAGGCAGCAGUGGGGAAUAUUGGACAAUGGGGGGAACCCUGAUCCAGCCAUGCCGCGUGUGUGAAGAAGGCCUUAUGGUUGUAAAGCACUUUAAGCGAGGAGGAGGCUACUCUAGUUAAUACCUAGGGAUAGUGGACGUUACUCGCAGAAUAAGCACCGGCUAACUCUGUGCCAGCAGCCGCGGUAA
rnacentral:rRNA from 1 species